UAAAUGAAGGCUAAAAACCUUCUUUUCACAUAUUAUCGCCCAUUUUAAUAAAAAAUGUCAAAAUGAAAAUUAUUAUAGACUAGACUCUAACAAAGAGUGAAAGGGGAUAAGGAUGAGGGAAAGAGAUCGGGCACGCCUAACCGAUAAAAUAUGAUUGACGAAUAAGAAGGAAAUGGAGGGACUGAAAUGAAAUAAGGCCGGACUCGGAAAUAAUGCUCUCCAUUUGCUCAAUGUGACAACAGAUGCAUAAUGUUUUCUCUUGAGACAAAGCGCAAUCUUCCGUGGUACAUCUUAAUACCAUUCUGCAUUCUACGUAUUCUUUGGGUAACAUUCAACAACCUGCAGUGCAUUCCUACCUACAUUCUCUGGUGUUUCUUUGGGAUUCCCUUACGUUGGGCUAACCCAGAUCUGUUCUGGGAACUGGAGGGAUGGCUCUUCAAGGGCGUUCUGUACAUGCUCUCUGGCUGGGCAUGGACUGCAGGCUAUACAAUCUCUGAGGUUGGUGAUGACAUCAGCAAGCUUGACACAGAUGAAGCUAUUAUGUUAAUCAACCACCAGUCUACGGGAGAUGUCCCAACUGCUAUGACUAUGUUGUUGAAUAAAGGAAGAGCAGUUUGUGGGUCCAUAUGGAUUAUAGAUCACCUGUUUAAGUAUUCAAAUUUUGGCCUUGUUUCACAGAUCAGGGGUGACUUCUUCAUCAAACAGGGCAAAGAUACCCGAGAACGUGAGAUCAAAGCACUAGGAGAACACUUGCUAAAUAUAUUCUGGACAAGACAUAGAAAGUGGCUCAUAAUAUUUCCAGAGGGAGGAUUCUUAAGAAAGAGAAAAGCAAAUAGUCAGAGUUUCGGGAGGAAACAUAAUUUACCAUUACUGCACCAUGUUACACUGCCUCGUGUUGGUGCUGUAGAAAUGGCCAUGAAUACUCUUUCAUCCAGUGCAAUAAGCAAUGGAACAUCUAGCCAUACAGAUACAGAUACAAGUCGCUUAAAAAUGGGACGCCUUAAGUGGGUGAUAGAUGUCACUGUAGGCUACCCAGGAGGUAAAGCUCUAGAUUUCCAAAGCAUCACUAGUGGAUUCCGACAGCCAUGUGAAACAGUUAUCCAUUUUCAGAAAUUUCCAAUCGAUGAAGUCCCAAAAGACACAAACAAUCUCAAACAGUGGCUUUAUGAUCGAUACAUCGAGAAAGAUGCCAUGCUUGAUCAGUUUUAUAAAACUGGAAAAUUCCCUGUGAAGCAGCAACAACGGUCUUUGGGUGAUGAUGGGAAAGUAUUGUAUACCCCAAAACCCAUUCAGCUCAGUUGUAUCACAUUAGCAGUGUUGCACCUUCUUUUUCUUGCCUCAUCCGUAUUUCAUUAUAAGGUUGUUUGUUACCUGGGGAGCUUUAUAUUUUAGCUAAUCCAGUACUCAGAUCUAUAAGAAGUCCAUUCUAUGAGAUUAUUUAUCCAUCCAAGCACAGAAAUACAAUGAACUCUAAUGUUCAGUUAGUGUCAAGCAUUAAAACACAUAUGAUUCUUAAAAUUAAGACUUUACCUUUACUUAUGUGAUUUUGCAUUAUUCACCCUUAUAUCAAUAUAAUCUUUAAAAUAUCAAUCUACUCCGUUCUCAAAACUGAUUUUUUGUGUGAAAAGAACACAUUGAUAUUUCAACUAUUUCACCUUCCCCUAGUCAGUUUCAAAGAUGACACAAAAUGAUGAUUCUCCAUUUUCUCUAAAUAUUCAGUAUCACAAUGAAUAUAAUAUGAGACAUGCAUAAUAUGGCAGCUAGCUACACAUGUACAGAGUAAAUUAUUUCUUUAUUGUAGUAGCUAGUGUAUAUAUUGUUACAAAUUCAAAUAUAUAUGAGCCAUACUGCAGUAAAGUCUGU
rnacentral:misc_RNA from 1 species